AUUGAACGCUGGCGGCAUGCUUUACACAUGCAAGUCGAACGGUAACAGGCCGCAAGGUGCUGACGAGUGGCGAACGGGUGAGUAAUGCAUCGGAACGUGCCCAGUCGUGGGGGAUAACGCAGCGAAAGCUGUGCUAAUACCGCAUACGACCUAUGGAUGAAAGCGGGGUACCGUAAGGCCUCGCGCGAUUGGAGCGGCCGAUGUCAGAUUAGGUAGUUGGUGGGGUAAAGGCCCACCAAGCCCACGAUCUGUAGCUGGUCUGAGAGGACGACCAGCCACACUGGGACUGAGACACGGCCCAGACUCCUACGGGAGGCAGCAGUGGGGAAUUUUGGACAAUGGGCGCAAGCCUGAUCCAGCAAUGCCGCGUGCAGGAAGAAGGCCUUCGGGUUGUAAACUGCUUUUGUACGGAACGAAACGGUCUGGGUUAAUACCUCGGGCUAAUGACGGUACCGUAAGAAUAAGCACCGGCUAACUACGUGCCAGCCGCCGCGGUAAAAC
rnacentral:rRNA from 1 species